rnacentral:rRNA from 1 species
AUUGAACGCUGGCGGCAGGCCUAACACAUGCAAGUCGAACGAGUGGCGGACGGGUUAGUAAUGUCUGGGAAACUGACUGAUGGAGGGGGUUAAGUACUGGACACGGUAGCUAAUAACGCAUACCAUAGGAUGUGCCGAGAUGGCAUUAGCUAGUUGGUGGGGUAAAGGCUCACCACGGCGACGAUCCGUAGCUGGUCUGAGAGGAUGACCAGUCACACUGGAACUGAGACACGGUCCAGACUCCUACGGGAGGCAGCAGUGGGGAAUAUUGCACAAUGGGCGCAAGCCUGAUGCAGCCAUGCCGCGUGUAUGAAGAAGGUCUUCGGGUUGUAAAGUACUUUCAGCGGGGAGGCGUUACCCGCAGAAGAAGCACCGGCUAACUCCGUGCCAGCAGCCGCGGUAAUUC